rnacentral:rRNA from 1 species
GACGAACGCUGGCGGCGCGCUUAACACAUGCAAGUCGAACGGAAAGGCCUGCUUUCCCUUGUGGAUUGCGGGUACUCGAGUGGCGAACGGGUGAGUAACACGUGAGUGAUCUGCCCCCAACUUGGGUAUAAGCCUGGGAAACUGGGUCUAAUUCCCGAUAGGACUGCAGGGUGGUGCCUGUGGUGGAAAACGAUUUUCUAGUGGUUGGGGAUGAGCUCGCGGCCUAUCAGCUUGUUGGUGGGGUAAUGGCCUACCAAGGCGGCGACGGGUAGCCGGCCUGGGAGGGUGGGCGGCCACAUUGGGACUGAGAUACGGCCCAGACUCCUACGGGAGGCAGCAGUGGGGAAUAUUGCACGAUGGGCGGAAGCCUGAUGCAGCGACGCCGCGUGGGGGAUGACGGCCUUCGGGUGGUAAACUCCUUUCGACCGCGAGGAAGCCACCUGGUUGGAAGGGUGGUGACGGUAGUGGUAGAAGAAGCACCGGCUAACUACGUG